rnacentral:misc_RNA from 1 species
AAGCGGUCAGAAUUUUUUGAGCCUUUUAUUAUGGGAUUGACAAAUGGAACGGUUGAUCAGUUCUGCAAAUCAGCAGUUGAACCAAUGGGUGAAGAAAGUGAUCAUGUACACAUAAUUGCCUUAUCUGAUGCUUUGGGUGUGCCGAUUCGUGUUUUGUACCUUGAUCGGAGCUCUUGUGAUUCUGGCGGCCUCAGUGUAAACCACCAUGAUUUUGUUCCUGCUAGUGAGGUCUCAAGUGAUAGUACUGGCUCUGAGAUUAAGAUCCCUUUCAUCACUUUGCUCUAUCGUCCUGGUCAUUACGAUAUCCUUUAUCCAAAGUGAUGGCCAUUGGCAAACCCUGGUCGGGCUCUUAGAGUUGAACUGCAUUGACACGACGGACAUGGAUCCAAGCUUCAACAAGAUAAAAGGUUGGAUCUUUAUAAUUG